GGAAAGAAGCUGGUCUCAGUCAACAUUUCUUCUUCCCAAGGCAGUUCAUCUGAUGUGUAGGAGAGAAAUGAAAAAUAAACUGCAUAGAUUAAAAGAUCCUUGGCUACAACUGAAUUGAUGGGAGUUUUUGGAUUCUUGGAGAAAGAGUACAUAUUAUGGUGUGGGUUUUUUUUGGAAAAAGAUAAAUAUCAAUGAGGAAAAUUUGAGAAGGAAGAAAUACCAUAAAAGUGUAUUUUCAUUGGACAGAGAACCCCUGGAAGAGCAAUCCUAGAUCUGCAUUCUGCACCUGGAAACAAAAAAACAAUAAUCACCAGACAAACCAACAGAAUUUCACAUGCAGAACAGCUUCAUGGAGAAUGGAGUGGAUGGUCAUCCAUGCUGUCUGGAACACUGAAAACUUGGUCUGCCCAAGAGUCACAAGGACUUCUAGUACCC